ACCCACAUAAUAAUUGUAAUAAAAAUACAAUGUAAAUUAUGUACAAAGAUUAUUGCAAUUGAAUGAAAGGAGAUCAUAUUUUGGCCUCAAAUAAUAUCGUACAUGUGAUUGUGAUCUGCACGGGGAAAAAAUAUUGGGAAAAAAAUAUUACAUUCCUUCAAAAUAAACAAAAUGUCACAUAUAUCUCAAUAAAUUUCACCCUACAAAACUUCCAGUACAGAUCGGAUAAUUAAUAUGACCUUUCCUGCUAUUCUGUAUCCCUUUUCUUUUAUAUUGUCUUGCAGACCCUGAGACGGUUGAUGAAGGCUUUGCACUUGUCUUUUCACCCAGAGGCUCCAGCAGCACACUUACCAUAUUCACCCUGUUCUUCUUUGGAAAACUCUUCAAUCAAUUCCCGUUGUCUUG
rnacentral:misc_RNA from 1 species